GGGAGCCGGGAUGUCAUUUCUUCCUUCCUUAUUCCUCUCCCCCCGGCCAGGGGCUUGCCCAUUGCGUCCCGCAGGCUUCGCUCCGCUCCCGGGCCGGCGCGGUGCCGCGUGGCUGUGUCCGGAAGAGCUCCGUGUCCCUGCGCAGAGCGGCGCGCAGGCCGUGGCCCGCAGGCCGUGAAGGCCGGCUGUGGGAGGCGGCUGCCCCAGGAGCCCCCGCCGUGGCCUCACCCACACGGGCACGCGUGGCAGCGCCUGCCCUCGCACACAGGCUGGGAAUGCCCACAUCCCUGCCCCAGCGUCCCAGCAGGACAUUGAGGGAGCCCGUCUUGGGGAAAGUAUUGCUCUUCCAGACGGUUUUCAGACCAAAUAAGUAUUUAUUUUUUUCGUUUGGCUUGUAUGAGCCCCACAGUUUUGGCUCCGUAUUGAAACUGCGGCAAAUAAAUUAACCAGUAGUCCUAGCCGUGAUGGAGAUGCUGAGACCCAGGAAAACUUGAAAAGACAACAGCUUAUUUUUGUUUUCUACAUGGUCUGAGCAGGAUGGCAGGAAUUUAUUUGAUCUGAGUUUGCACAGCACAAAAUGAAGUUCUGUCUUGUCAACCAUAACUCCUCAGCAAUGUGGGAAUACAUUAAAGACAUCAGCAACAU